UAAGGGCGCACGGUGGAUGCCUUGGCACUAGAAGCCGAUGAAGGACGUUACUAACGACGAUAUGCUUUGGGGAGCUGUAAGUAAGCUUUGAUCCAGAGAUUUCCGAAUGGGGAAACCCAGCAUGAGUUAUGUCAUGUUAUCGAUAUGUGAAUACAUAGCAUAUCAGAAGGCACACCCGGAGAACUGAAACAUCUUAGUACCCGGAGGAAGAGAAAGAAAAUUCGAUUCCCUUAGUAGCGGCGAGCGAAACGGGAAGAGCCCAAACCAACAAGCUUGCUUGUUGGGGUUGUAGGACACUCUAUACGGAGUUACAAAGGACGACAUUAGACGAAUCAUCUGGAAAGAUGAAUCAAAGAAGGUAAUAAUCCUGUAGUCGAAAAUGUUGUCUCUCUUGAGUGGAUCCUGAGUACGACGGAGCACGUGAAAUUCCGUCGGAAUCUGGGAGGACCAUCUCCUAAGGCUAAAUACUCUCUAGUGACCGAUAGUGAACCAGUACCGUGAGGGAAAGGUGAAAAGCACCCCGGAAGGGGAGUGAAAUAGAACCUGAAACCGUGUGCUUACAAGUAGUCAGAGCCCGUUAAUGGGUGAUGGCGUGCCUUUUGUAGAAUGAACCGGCGAGUUACGAUUUGAUGCAAGGUUAAGCAGUAAAUGUGGAGCCGUAGCGAAAGCGAGUCUGAAUAGGGCGUUUAGUAUUUGGUCGUAGACCCGAAACCAGGUGAUCUACCCUUGGUCAGGUUGAAGUUCAGGUAACACUGAAUGGAGGACCGAACCGACUUACGUUGAAAAGUGAGCGGAUGAACUGAGGGUAGCGGAGAAAUUCCAAUCGAACCUGGAGAUAGCUGGUUCUCUCCGAAAUAGCUUUAGGGCUAGCCUCAAGUGAUGAUUAUUGGAGGUAGAGCACUGUUUGGACGAGGGGCCCCUCUCGGGUUACCGAAUUCAGACAAACUCCGAAUGCCAAUUAAUUUAACUUGGGAGUCAGAACAUGGGUGAUAAGGUCCGUGUUCGAAAGGGAAACAGCCCAGACCACCAGCUAAGGUCCCAAAAUAUAUGUUAAGUGGAAAAGGAUGUGGCGUUGCCCAGACAACUAGGAUGUUGGCUUAGAAGCAGCCAUCAUUUAAAGAGUGCGUAAUAGCUCACUAGUCGAGUGACACUGCGCCGAAAAUGUACCGGGGCUAAACAUAUUACCGAAGCUGUGGAUUGUCCUUUGGACAAUGGUAGGAGAGCGUUCUAAGGGCGUUGAAGCAUGAUCGUAAGGACAUGUGGAGCGCUUAGAAGUGAGAAUGCCGGUGUGAGUAGCGAAAGACGGGUGAGAAUCCCGUCCACCGAUUGACUAAGGUUUCCAGAGGAAGGCUCGUCCGCUCUGGGUUAGUCGGGUCCUAAGCUGAGGCCGACAGGCGUAGGCGAUGGAUAACAGGUUGAUAUUCCUGUACCACCUAUAAUCGUUUUAAUCGAUGGGGGGACGCAGUAGGAUAGGCGAAGCGUGCGAUUGGAUUGCACGUCUAAGCAGUAAGGCUGAGUAUUAGGCAAAUCCGGUACUCAUUAAGGCUGAGCUGUGAUGGGGAGAAGACAUUGUGUCUUCGAGUCGUUGAUUUCACACUGCCGAGAAAAGCCUCUAGAUAGAAAAUAGGUGCCCGUACCGCAAACCGACACAGGUAGUCAAGAUGAGAAUUCUAAGGUGAGCGAGCGAACUCUCGUUAAGGAACUCGGCAAAAUGACCCCGUAACUUCGGGAGAAGGGGUGCUCUUUAGGGUUAACGCCCAGAAGAGCCGCAGUGAAUAGGCCCAAGCGACUGUUUAUCAAAAACACAGGUCUCUGCUAAACCGUAAGGUGAUGUAUAGGGGCUGACGCCUGCCCGGUGCUGGAAGGUUAAGAGGAGUGGUUAGCUUCUGCGAAGCUACGAAUCGAAGCCCCAGUAAACGGCGGCCGUAACUAUAACGGUCCUAAGGUAGCGAAAUUCCUUGUCGGGUAAGUUCCGACCCGCACGAAAGGCGUAACGAUUUGGGCACUGUCUCAACGAGAGACUCGGUGAAAUCAUAGUACCUGUGAAGAUGCAGGUUACCCGCGACAGGACGGAAAGACCCCGUGGAGCUUUACUGUAGCCUGAUAUUGAAAUUCGGCACAGCUUGUACAGGAUAGGUAGGAGCCUUUGAAACGUGAGCGCUAGCUUACGUGG
rnacentral:rRNA from 1 species